rnacentral:lncRNA from 1 species
GCCCCUUCCGCCGCGGGCGGCAGCUUCCGGCUCGCGCAUGCGCAGUGUUCGCGGACUCGCCGCCAACGCCCAGUACAGUCGGGGACGAGUUUAGAUACAACUGGCCAGCAUUGAUGUUAAAAUAGAGACCAUGAGACUGAUGGAACAGACUUUUUGUGGCAAUAAGAUACAAAAAUUAUAAACAAGACCUAAGGCCAUUCCAGGAAAGAUCCAAGAGGCCCUUUGCCAAUUCCAACUGGAACAUCCAACAUCGGACACUAAUCCAGCCAACUGCCAUAACUACAGCUUUGAUUAGACAAGAGACUGAUUUCAACAACUUUCUCCUGAUAAGAAGAUCAUGGACUAUGGAAUGGACUGGUUCUGGUUUACAGAGGCUGUGUACUUGCGUGCCUUGAUGUCCUGAAAGACCUUUUGACAGAUAGGGCCUAAUGGUAAUACAUUUAAAUGUCAAGUCACCAUCCCAAAGUGAAUAUACAUGAGUCGUAUGUUACAUGCAUGUUUCUUCAAUAUGCAUGUAUCAGGACCACCUUCAUGAAUAUUCACAGCUCCUCCUGUAAACUGUUGAAUGUGUAAGUUUAGCCAACCUGUUCAGUCUAAAGCUCCUGCCUCAAAGCCUCCCCCUUCAAAGUGCCCGUCUCUGUUUCUGCUGGAGUCAGCUCCCCAGCCUCCAGGAUGGCUACCUUGCAGGUUGUACCCGUUUAGAAGAA